CUCAAUUUGAAGCUGGCGCCUUCGGCGUCCGCGUUGUAAUCUCGAGAAGUGUUUUCCGUGCUGGACCAUGUACAAGUUCCUUGGAAUAGGACGUCAUAGAGGGUGAAAAUCCCGUCCUUGACAUGGACGCCCAGUGCUUUGUGAUACGCUCUCCACGAGUCGAGUUGUUUGGGAAUGCAGCUCAAAAUGGGUGGUAAAUUCCAUCUAAAGCUAAAUAUUGGGGAGAGACCGAUAGCGAACAAGUACCGUGAGGGAAAGAUGAAAAGCACUUUGGAAAGAGAGUUAAACAGUACGUGAAAUUGUCGAAAGGGAAGCGCUUGAAGUUAGACAUGCCUGCUGGAAUUCANCCUUGCUUUUUGCUUGGUGUAUUUUCCGGUGAGCAGGCCAGCAUCAGUUUUGUCUGUCGGAUAAGGGUAGGAGGAACGUANCCCCCCUCGGGGGGUGUUAUAGCCUCUUACUGGAUACGGCGGAUGGGACUGAGGACCGCAGUGUGCCUUUAUGGCGGGCCUUCGGGCACCUUCACACUUAGGAUGCUGGCGUAAUGGCUUUAAGCGACCCGUCUUGA
rnacentral:rRNA from 1 species